rnacentral:rRNA from 1 species
CCUACGGGAGGUAGCAGUGGGGAAUAUUGCACAAUGGGGGAAACCCUGAUGCAGCGACGCCGCGUGAAGGAAGAAGUAUUUCGGUAUGUAAACUUCUAUCAGCAGGGAAGAAAGUGACGGUACCUGACUAAGAAGCCCCGGCUAACUACGUGCCAGCAGCCGCGGUAAUACGUAGGGGGCAAGCGUUAUCCGGAUUUACUGGGUGUAAAGGGAGCGUAGGCGGCGAUGCAAGUCAGAAGUGAAAGCCCGGGGCUCAACUCCGGGACUGCUUUUGAAACUGUAUGGCUAGAUUGCAGGAGAGGCAAGUGGAAUUCCUGGUGGAGCGGUGAAAUGCAUAGAUAUUAGGAGGAACACCAGUGGCGAAGGCGGCCUGCUGGACUGUAAAUGACGCUGAGGCUCGAAAGCGUGGGGAGCAAACAGGAUUAGAUACCCUAGUAGUC